UACAGAGGGGGCAAGCGUUGUUCGGAAUUACUGGGCGUAAAGCGUGCGUAGGCGGUGGCCCAAGUCUGGUGUGAAAUCUCCCGGCUCAACCGGGAGGGUGCGCCGGAAACUGGGUCGCUCGAGUACUGGAGAGGCAAGCGGAAUUCCUGGUGUAGCGGUGAAAUGCGUAGAUAUCAGGAGGAACACCCGUGGUGUGAGACGCUUGCGUGGACAGUCACUGACGCUGAGGCACGAAGCGUGGGGAGCAAACAGG
rnacentral:rRNA from 1 species